GCAGCGACACUAUGUGUUGUUGGGUAGGGGAGCGUUCUGUAAGCCUGCGAAGGUGACCUGUGAGGGUUGCUGGAGGUAUCAGAAGUGCGAAUGCUGACAUAAGUAACGAUAAAGCGGGUGAAAAGCCCGCUCGCCGGAAGACCAAGGGUUCCUGUCCAACGUUAAUCGGGGCAGGGUGAGUCGACCCCUAAGGCGAGGCCGAAAGGCGUAGUCGAUGGGAAACAGGUUAAUAUUCCUGUACUUGGUGUUACUGCGAAGGGGGGACGGAGAAGGCUAUGUUAGCCGGGCGACGGUUGUCCCGGUUUAAGCAUGUAGGCUGAUUGUCCAGGCAAAUCCGGAUAAUCAAGGCUGAGGUGUGAUGACGAGGCACUACGGUGCUGAAGUAACAAAUGCCCUGCUUCCAGGAAAAGCCUCUAAGCAUCAGGUAACAUCAAAUCGUACCCCAAACCGACACAGGUGGUCAGGUAGAGAAUACCAAGGCGCUUGA
rnacentral:rRNA from 1 species